UGGGGAAUAUUGGACAAUGGACCAAAAGUCUGAUCCAGCAAUUCUGUGUGCACGAUGACGUUUUUCGGAAUGUAAAGUGCUUUCAGUUGGGAAGAAAAAAAUGACGGUACCAACAGAAGAAGUGACGGCUAAAUACGUGCCAGCAGCCGCGGUAAUACGUAUGUCACAAGCGUUAUCCGGAUUUAUUGGGCGUAAAGCGCGUCUAGGUGGUUAUGUAAGUCUGAUGUGAAAAUGCAGGGCUCAACUCUGUAUUGCGUUGGAAACUGCAUGACUAGAGUACUGGAGAGGUAAGCGGAACUACAAGUGUAGAGGUGAAAUUCGUAGAUAUUUGUAGGAAUGCCGAUGGGGAAGCCAGCUUACUGGACAGAUACUGACGCUAAAGCGCGAAAGCGUGGGUAGCAAACAGGAUUAGAUACCCUGGUAGUCCACGCCGUAAACGAUGAUUACUAGGUGUUGGGGGUCGAACCUCAGCGCCCAAGCUAACGCGAUAAGUAAUCCGCCUGGGGAGUACGUACGCAAGUAU
rnacentral:rRNA from 1 species